rnacentral:rRNA from 1 species
AGCAGUCGCCGCGGGAAUACGUAGGUGGCAAGCGUUGUCCGGAAUUAUUGGGCGUAAAGGGCUCGCAGGCGGUUUCUUAAGUCUGAUGUGAAAGCCCCCGGCUCAACCGGGGAGGGUCAUUGGAAACUGGGAAACUUGAGUGCAGAAGAGGAGAGUGGAAUUCCACGUGUAGCGGUGAAAUGCGUAGAGAUGUGGAGGAACACCAGUGGCGAAGGCGACUCUCUGGUCUGUAACUGACGCUGAGGAGCGAAAGCGUGGGGAGCGAACAGGAUUAGAUACCCGAGUAGUCCCUGUCUCUUAUAC